AAUCUGCUUUGAAGAAUUCAUGAAAUUUCACAUGUCAGACUUCAGAGAGACAUCUAUGAGAAUACAUUCAUGUAUACUGAGCAGAAU